UUAUCUCAAGUAUCGAGAUAAUAGAAGUGAUUCUUUUUUUUUGUAAUGUCUUUUGUUCUGAUUCGUUGUCGACUCGUAACUCUUAGAAAUUCGUUUGAUAGGAUUUUUAUAACUUUAUCCAUCGCUUGUAAUACAUUUCUUAUACUGAUGUAAUUAUAUCGUUGCAGUUCAUGAUUUUUAUAAAUGUGUGAACAAUUGUGUAUACGUUUUUAUAUUACGAUAUUUUAUGCGGUCUUUUUUUUAUAUAAUAUAAUAUAUGAUAAUGUGAUACUACAUAUUUUAUUAAUGCUUUAUACUUUUAAUAAAUAAUUGAAUAUAUUAAUUUUUAUAUUUAAAAUACAAUAUUGGAAUCGAUAAGAGAAGUAAAUGUUUAGUGAUAAAACAAUAAAUAAUAAUGGAAAGAGUUCUAUCUGCGUGGAUAUGUAUGAUUGCUGCUGUGAUUAUGACAAGGCCUAUGAUAGAAAAUGAAACAUUUAUAGUGAUAAACUUUUACCAUAAGGGCUAUUUUGAAUAAAUCUUAUCCAGUCCCAAGAAAAAGUUGUGUCAAGUUUGCAUCAGGAUUGUGGCAAAGUGUACUGUAAAUAAUUUUGGAAUAACUUUGAUCAAUGCCUGAUGUAUAUUUGAUACUACACUAACAUCUGUUUAUAAAACUUGCUUAUGUGUAACUAUAAGGAAUUCAAAAGAUUGGAAAUCAAACACUGGAGGUCAAUUUAAAAAUAAAGAAGACGAUCAAUGGUUAAGCUUGUUUAAUAUGUAAAACUAAAAUAUUAUAAAAUAUUAUAUCUAUGUGAUAAUUUUUCAAACUAUUAAGUAUCAAUGUUAGAAGAACUAUUACCAUCGGACAACAUAUUGAUAAUUCUUUGUAAUUUUUUAAACUUUUACAAUUAGUAAAAUGUUUUAGCAAUUUUCUAACUUUUAUGAAGAUUCCAUACGUCAAGUUCAAUAUAAUUGCAUAGAUUUAAAACGAAUAAGUACAAAAAAUAACUUAACUCUUUAUAGCAUUAUAUAACUUUUAAGUU